GACGAACGCUGGCGGCGUGCUUAACACAUGCAAGUCGAACGGAAAGGCCCUGCUUUUGUGGGGUGCUCGAGUGGCGAACGGGUGAGUAACACGUGAGUAACCUGCCCUUGACUUUGGGAUAACUUCAGGAAACUGGGGCUAAUACCGGAUAGGAGCUCCUGCUGCAUGGUGGGGGUUGGAAAGUUUCGGCGGUUGGGGAUGGACUCGCGGCUUAUCAGCUUGUUGGUGGGGUAGUGGCUUACCAAGGCUUUGACGGGUAGCCGGCCUGAGAGGUUGACCGGCCACAUUGGGACUGAGAUACGGCCCAGACUCCUACGGGAGGCAACAGUGGGGAAUAUUGCACAAUGGGCGGAAGCCUGAUGCAGCAACGCCGCGUGCGGGAUGACGGCCUUCGGGUGGUAAACCGCUUUCGCCUGUGACGAAGCGUGAGUGACGGUAAUGGGUAAAGAAGCACCGGCUAACUACGU
rnacentral:rRNA from 1 species